rnacentral:tRNA from 1 species
UGCCCGGUGGUGUAGCGGUAGCACGUCAGCCUUUGGAGCUGUAAGCCCUGGUUCGAACCCAGGCCGGGCAGCCA